rnacentral:rRNA from 1 species
UACAGAGGUCUCAACCGUUGUUCGGAUUCAUUGGGCGUAAAGGGUGCGUAGGCGGUCGCGCAAGUCGGAUGUGAAAUCUCAGGGCUCAACCCUGAAACUGCAUCCGAUACUGCGUGGCUAGAGUGCUGGAGGGGAGACUGGAAUUUACGGUGUAGCAGUGAAAUGCGUAGAUAUCGUAAGGAAGACCAGUGGCGAAGGCGAGUCUCUGGACAGCAACUGACGCUGAGGCACGAAGGCCAGGGGAGCAAACGGG